AACGAACGCUGGCGGCAUGCCUAACACAUGCAAGUCGAACGAGACCUUCGGGUCUAGUGGCGCACGGGUGCGUAACGCGUGGGAACCUGCCCUUAGGUUCGGAAUAACUCUCCGAAAGGGGUGCUAAUACCGGAUAAUGUCUUCGGACCAAAGAUUUAUCGCAUUUGGAUGGGCCCGCGUUGGAUUAGCUAGUUGGUAGGGUAAUAGCCUACCAAGGCGACGAUCCAUAGCUGGUCUGAGAGGAUGAUCAGCCACACUGAGACUGAGACACGGCCCAGACUCCUACGGAAGGGAGCAGUGGGGAAUAUUGGACAAUGGGCGAAAGCCUGAUCCAGCAAUGACGCGUGAGUGAUGAAGUCCUUAGGGUUGUAAAGCUCUUUUACCCGGGAUGAUAAUGACAGUACCGGGAGAAUAAGCUCCGGCUAACUCCGUG
rnacentral:rRNA from 1 species